rnacentral:misc_RNA from 1 species
UACGGAGGGUGCGAGCGUUGUCCGGAAUCACUGGGCGUAAAGGGCGCGUAGGCGGCUUCUUAAGCGUGUGGUGAAAGCUCGGGGCUCAACCCCGAGUCGGCCGUGCGAACUGGGGAGCUUGAGCACUGUAGAGGCAGGUGGAAUUCCGGGUGUAGCGGUGGAAUGCGUAGAGAUCCGGAAGAACACCAGGGGCGAAGGCGGCCUGCUGGGCAGUGGCUGACGCUGAGGCGCGACAGCGUGGGGAGCUAACAGG